GGUGCCAGCAGCUGCGGUAAUUCCAGCUCUGCGAGUUUGCUCCCAUAUUGUUGCAGUUAAAACGCCAGUAGUCUGAAUUGGCCAGCAAUGGUCGUACGUAUUUUUACGUUCACUGUGAACAAAUCAGGACGCUUAGAGUAUGGCCACAUGAAUGACUCAGCGCAGUAUGAAGUCUUUGUUUUCUUCCGAAAACAAGCUCAAUGAGAGCCAUCGGGGGUAGAUCUAUCUCAUGACGAGUGGUGGAAUACUUUGACUCAUGAGAGAGAAGCUGAGGCGAAGGCGUCUACCUAGAGGGUUUCUGUCGAUCAAGGGCGAGAGUAGGAGUAUCCAACAGGAUUAGAGACCCUGGUAGUUCCUACCUUAAACGAUGCCGACAGGAGUUUGUCAUUUGUUAAUGGCAGAAUCUUUGGAGAAAUCAUAGUUCUUGGGCUCUGGGGGAACUACGACCGCAAGGCUGAAACUUGAAGGAAUUGACGGAAGGGCACACCAGGGGUGGAGCCUGUGGCUUAAUUUGAAUCAACACGGGGAAACUUACCAGGACCAGAUGUUUUUUAUGACUGACAGGCUUCGGGUCUUUCAGGAUAUUGUUUUUGGUGGUGCAUGGCCGUUGGUGGUGCGUGGGUUGACCUGUCUAGCGUUGAUUCAGCUAACGAGCGAGAUUAUCGCCAAUUAUUUACUUUGCCGAAGUCCUUCGGUUAAAGUUCUAAUUGGGACUCCCUGCGAUUUUAGCAGGUGGAAGAGGGUAGCAAUAACAGGUCCGUGAUGCCCUUUAGAUGCUCUGGGCUGCACGCGUGCUACAAUGUUAGGAUCAAUAGGACUGCGAGCCUGAGAGGGUGCGCUACUCUUAUAAUCCCUAACGUAGUUGGGAUUGACGUUUGUAAUCAGCGUCAUGAACCAGGAAUCCCUUGUAAAUGUGUGUCAACAACGCACGUUGAAUACGUCCCUGCCCUUUGUACACACCGCCCGUCGCUCCUACCGAUUGGAUGACUCGGUGAAAUCACCGGAUGCUUACGAGCAGAA
rnacentral:ncRNA from 2 species